rnacentral:rRNA from 1 species
UACGUAGGGGGCAAGCGUUGUCCGGAUUUAUUGGGCGUAAAGAGCUCGUAGGUGGUUCGGUAAGUCGGAUGUGAAAUCGCCAGGCUCAACCUGGAGGGGUCAUUCGAUACUGCCGUGACUAGAGGUCGGUAGGGGAGUGUGGAAUUCCUGGUGGAGCGGUGAAAUGCGCAGAUAUCAGGAGGAACACCCGUAGCGAAGGCGGCCCGCUGGGCCGAUACUGACACUGAGGAGCGAAAGCGUGGGGAGCGAACCGG